CCUACGGGAGGCAGCAGUGAGGAAUAUUGGUCAAUGGGCGCUAGCCUGAACCAGCCAAGUAGCGUGAAGGAUGACUGCCCUAUGGGUUGUAAACCUCUUUUAUAUGGGAAUAAAGUGCAGUAUGUAUACUGCUUUGCAUGUACCUUAUGAAUAAGGAUCGGCUAACUCCGUGCCAGCAGCCGCGGUAAUACGGAGGAUUCGAGCGUUAUCCGGAUUUAUUGGGUUUAAAGGGAGCGUAGGCGGGCUGUUAAGUCAGGUGUGAAAGUUUGCGGCUCAACCGUAAAAUUGCAGUUGAUACUGGCAGCCUUGAGUACAGGAGAGGUAGGCGGAAUUCGUGGUGUAGCGGUGAAAUGCUUAGAUAUCACGAAGAACUCCGAUUGCGAAGGCAGCCUGCUGGACUGUAACUGACGCUGAUGCUCGAAAGUGUGGGUAUCAAACAGGAUUAGAUACCCCAGUAGUC
rnacentral:rRNA from 1 species